UUUGUAGGUGGUCUGUUAAGUCAGACGUGAAAUCCCUCAGCUUAACUGGGGAACUGCGUCUGAGACUGAUGGACUUGAGGGCAGGAGAGGAACGCGGAAUUCCAGGUGUAGCGGUGAAAUGCGUAGAUAUCUGGAGGAACACCGGUGGCGAAGGCGGCGUUCUGGACUGUUUCUGACACUGAAAAACGAAAGCCAGGGGAAGGCAAACG
rnacentral:rRNA from 1 species